rnacentral:lncRNA from 1 species
UUUUUUUUUUUUUUUUUUUUUAAUAAAAUAAUGUCUUUAUUGCACUUUUCUUUGCUGUUGUAACAAAUUACUCGACCUACAGCAGUUGGCCGAGUAUCCCUGUGAAUUAGUCACUGGAUAACCAGGGAAUUUAUUCAGUGAAUUAAUAUAUAAGAUCAUAGUUUGUUAGUUUUACAGUUCAUGGUUAUUACAUACAUUUUACAAACUAUAUUGUUU